rnacentral:snRNA from 1 species
GUGCUCGCUUCAGCAGCACAUACACUAAAAUUGGAACAAUACAGAGAAAAUUAGCAUGGCCCCUGUGCAAGGUAAAUUUGUGAAGUGUUCCAUAUUUAA